AGAGACAAGAGUCCAUUAACAACAACAACUUACCUGUACAGGUACAGACAGUCUCUCACCUGUACAGGUACAGACAGGUGUCUCUCACCUGUACAGGUACAGACAGGUGUCUCUCACCUAUACAGGUACAGACAGGUGUCUCUCACCUGUACAGGUACAGACAGGUGCCUCUCACCUAUACAGGUACAGACAGGUGCCUCUCACCUGUACAGGUACAGACAGGUGUCUCUCACCUGUACAGGUACAGACAGGUGCCUCUCACCUAUACAGGUACAGACAGGUGUCUCUCACCUGUACAGGUACAGACAGGUGCCUCUCACCUGUACAGGUACAGACAGGUGCCUCUCACCUAUACAGGUACAGACAGGUGCGUCUCACCUAUACAGGUACAGACAGUCGUCUCUCACCUGUACAGGUACAGACAGUCUCUCACCUGUACAGGUACAGACAGUCUCUCACCUGUGCAGGUACAGACAGGUGUGUCUCACCUGUGCAGGUACAGACAGGUGUGUCUCACCUGUGCAGGUACAGACAGGUGUGUCUCACCUGUGCAGGUGUCUCUCACCUGUACAGGUACAGACAGUCUCUCACCUGUGCAGGUACAGACAGGUGUCUCACCUGUGCAGGUACAUACAGGUGUCUCUCACCUGUACAGGUACAGACAGUCUCUCACCUGUGCAGGUACAGACAGGUGUCUCUCACCUGUGCAGGUACAGACAGGUGUCUCUCACCUGUACAGGUACAGACAGUCUCUCACCUGUGCAGGUACAGACAGGUGUCUCUCACCUGUACAGGUACAGACAGGUGUCUCUCACCUGUACAGGUACAGACAGGUGUCUCUCACCUGUACAGGUAC